UGGGGAAUAUUGGACAAUGGGCGCAAGCCUGAUCCAGCAAUGCCGCGUGUGUGAAGAAGGCCUUCGGGUUGUAAAGCACUUUUAUCAGGAGCGAAACGCUGUCGGCUAAUACCCGGCGGAACUGACGGUACCUGAGGAAUAAGCACCGGCUAACUUCGUGCCAGCAGCCGCGGUAAUACGAAGGGUGCAAGCGUUAAUCGGAAUUACUGGGCGUAAAGCGUGCGUAGGCGGUUUCUUAAGUCUGCUGUGAAAUCCCCGGGCUCAACCUGGGAAUGGCAGUGGAUACUGGGAGGCUAGAGUGUGUCAGAGGGUGGUGGAAUUCCCGGUGUAGCGGUGAAAUGCGUAGAGAUCGGGAGGAACAUCAGUGGCGAAGGCGGCCACCUGGGACAACACUGACGCUGAGGCACGAAAAGCGUGGGGAGCAAACAGGAUUAGAUACCCUGGUAGUCCACGCCCUAAAACGAUGCGAACUGGAUGUUGGUCUCAACUCGGAGAUCAGUGUCGAAGCUAACGCGUUAAAGUUCGCCGCCUGGGGAGUACGGUCGCAAGACUGAAACUC
rnacentral:rRNA from 1 species